rnacentral:tRNA from 4 species
UCCCGAGUAGCUCAGCGGUAGAGCAGCUGACUGUUAAUCAGCGGGUCACAGGUUCGAAUCCUGUCUCGGGAGCCA